rnacentral:rRNA from 1 species
UACAGAGGUCCCAAGCGUUGUUCGGAUUCACUGGGCGUAAAGGGUGCGUAGGCGGUCGGGUAAGUCUGAUGUGAAAUCUCACAGCUUAACUGUGAAACUGCAUUGGAUACUAUUCGGCUUGAGAGUUGGAGGGGGGACUGGAAUUCUUGGUGUAGCAGUGAAAUGCGCAGAUAUCAGGAGGAACACCGGUGGCGAAGGCGGGUCUCUGGGCCGUAACUGACGCUGAGGAGCGAAAGCAUGGGGAGCGAACAGG